CAGUUACAAAUCACUGUCUGAGGACAACACCAUCGUCACCCCGAGCGCCAGGGGCCUGCUGGAGAGGACCCUGAAGGCAGCCAUCCACUCGCUGUACAUAGAAGCCCUGAAGCGUAAGCCGGACCAGGGAAAAGCCUUUGAACUGACCAGCAA